UACGUAGGGCGCAAGCGUUAUCCGGAAUUAUUGGGCGUAAAGAGCUCGUAGGCGGUUUGUCGCGUCUGCCGUGAAAGUCCGGGGCUCAACUCCGGAUCUGCGGUGGGUACGGGCAGACUAGAGUGAUGUAGGGGAGACUGGAAUUCCUGGUGUAGCGGUGAAACGCGCAGAUAUCAGGAGGAACACCGAUGGCGAAGGCAGGUCUCUGGGCAUUAACUGACGCUGAGGAGCGAAAGCAUGGGGAGCGAACAGG
rnacentral:rRNA from 1 species